UUUAACGAAUAAAAAUUAAUGAUAUCAAAUAAAACAAGAUAUACUGACGUGACACUAUAUAAGAGAAAAAUCUGUUCCAGGAAAAAAAAUAAGUCAUGAAAAAGAUUGGAGAGUUUUCAAAAAUUUGUAUUAAAGUAAAAACAAUAUCAAAAAAACAUAUCUAUCACUGAAUGCAGAGACACAAAAGAGGCAAGACAAAAAUUCAACAUACCGGAACACCUUCACGACGCACUGGGCCCUGACGAAAAAUCCAUCCAAAACAUAAUUUUAUUUUUGAAAGAUACUGAACUGUACAAUUUAAUUUAAGUCAUCAUUAGAUGUAAAAAUAAGCCAAUGGUCACGUUAUCGAGGCUUUAAAAAUUAAAAAAAAAAAAAAAAAAAAAAACAUAUCAUUAAAUU